CUAAGUGUUAAUAGACAACCAUGCAUAAGCUAAUGUUAUUCUGCCUAGUCUGUUUCUGUCUUGCUACAAUCUGUCAAGCAAUGACAGACAAUGCAGACAUAAUAGGCGAUUCAAUUUUGAGUCGUGCGAAAAGAGCCAGGCCUACCUGUAGACAGGGUAAAAAGUGUAACAGUUACAGAGACUGUUGUAAUGACCAAGGUUGUAGAAGAGGACGUUGCUGGAG